AGUUUGAUCCUGGCUCAGGAUGAACGCUAGCGGCAGGCCUAACACAUGCAAGUCGAACGGUAACAGGAAUUAGCUUGCUAAUUUGCUGACGAGUGGCGCACGGGUGCGUAACGCGUAUACAAUCUACCUUUUGCUGAGGGAUAGCCCAGAGAAAUUUGGAUUAAUACCUCAUAGUAUUAUUGGAUGGCAUCAUUUAAUAAUUAAAGGUUACGGCAAAAGAUGAGUAUGCGUACCAUUAGUUUGUUGGUAAGGUAACGGCUUACCAAGACUACGAUGGUUAGGGGUCCUGAGAGGGAGAUCCCCCACACUGGUACUGAGACACGGACCAGACUCCUACGGGAGGCAGCAGUGAGGAAUAUUGGACAAUGGACGAGAGUCUGAUCCAGCCAUGCCGCGUGCAGGAAGACUGCCCUAUGGGUUGUAAACUGCUUUUAUACAGGAAGAAUAAGGUCUACGUGUAGACUGAUGACGGUACUGUAAGAAUAAGGACCGGCUAACUCCGUGCCAGCAGCCGCGGUAAUACGGAGGGUCCGAGCGUUAUCCGGAAUUAUUGGGUUUAAAGGGUCCGUAGGCGGAUGAUUAAGUCAGGGGUGAAAGUUUGCAGCUCAACUGUAAAAUUGCCUUUGAUACUGGUUAUCUUGAGUUGUAUUGAAGUAGGCGGAAUAUGUAGUGUAGCGGUGAAAUGCAUAGAUAUUACAUAGAACACCAAUUGCGAAGGCAGCUUACUAAGUACUAACUGACGCUGAUGGACGAAAGCGUGGGUAGCGAACAGGAUUAGAUACCCUGGUAGUCCACGCCGUAAACGAUGGAUACUAGCUGUUCGGAACCUUGAGUUCUGAGCGGCUAAGCGAAAGUGAUAAGUUCCCCCCUGG
rnacentral:rRNA from 1 species